rnacentral:rRNA from 1 species
ACUUUAAGCAGUGAAGAAGACUCUUCGGUUAAUACCCGGAGACGAUGACAUUAGCUGCAGAAUAAGCACCGGCUAACUCUGUGCCAGCAGCCGCGGUAAUACAGAGGGUGCAAGCGUUAAUCGGAAUUACUGGGCGUAAAGCGAGCGUAGGUGGCUUGAUAAGUCAGAUGUGAAAUCCCCGGGCUUAACCUGGGAACUGCAUCUGAUACUGUCAGGCUAGAGUAGGUGAGAGGAAGGUAGAAUUCCAGGUGUAGCGGUGAAAUGCGUAGAGAUCUGGAGGAAUACCGAUGGCGAAGGCAGCCUUCUGGCAUCAUACUGACACUGAGGCUCGAAAGCGUGGGUAGCAAACAGGAUUAGAUACCCUGGUAGUCCACGCCGUAAACGAUGUCUACUAGUCGUUGGGUCCCUUGAGGACUUAGUGACGCAGCUAACGCAAUAAGUAGACCGCCUGGGGAGUACGGCCGCAAGGUUAAAACUCAAAUGAAUUGACGGGGGCCCGCACAAGCGGUGGAGCAUGUGGUUUAAUUCGAUGCAACGCGAAGAACCUUACCUGGUCUUGACAUAUCUAGAAUCCUGCAGAGAUGCGGGAGUGCCUUCGGGAAUUAGAAUACAGGUGCUGCAUGGCUGUCGUCAGCUCGUGUCGUGAGAUGUUGGGUUAAGUCCCGCAACGAGCGCAACCCUUGUCCUUAGUUACCAGCGGGUUAAGCCGGGAACUCUAAGGAUACUGCCAGUGACAAACU